rnacentral:lncRNA from 1 species
GGCCCAAGCUUUUCUGGCAAAACAGACUUUGGAGGUCAAACUAAUCUUGUACUACCCAUAAAAUUUUAGGCAAAAAUCUGUAUGCUUUGAAACCACUUUUCAUUGUUUACAAGAUAAUUGAAAGUCCAAGACUAUGGUCACAUGUUUGUAAUAACUUUUAAAGCUCAGUACAGUAGAGCUAUAUGUUCAGGUUUAUUUUCUAAACCUGAUAUUUUUAUUAGUAUUUAUUUGUAUGUUUUGUUUAAUGGCAUGCUGUUGUGAAUCAUUUAUUUUUAUCUUAUAUCCGGCAUGCGCCAGAAAGUAACCAUGAACCAGUGUUACAAAAAGAAAGAAACAGAAGAAGAUCUCAUCUUAUAGUAUUCUGUUUUCUUUGACUUUUAAUAGUGUUGUUUAUAAAAAGGCAUGGUUAAUAAAA